rnacentral:rRNA from 1 species
UGUAAGCGUAUACCAAAGUUGUUGCAGUUAAAACGCUCGUAGUCGGAAUUUGGCAGUUCCGGAUGUGUGCACGUCGUGUGCGCACUUCGCAGGGAUUGCUUUUGUGGUCUUGCGUAGGAUGAGGCACUUUUAUUAGUGAACGUCCUCACGCAACCACUUUUUACUGUGAGAAAAUCAGAGUGCUCAAAGCAGGCAUUUGCCGUGAAUGUAUUAGCAUGGAAUAAUAGAAUAGGACUUGGUUCUAUUUUGUUGGUUUGUUGGGACUGAGUAAUGAUUAAGAGGGACAGUUGGGGGCAUUUGUAUUUCGGUGCUAGAGGUGAAAUUCUUAGAUUACCGAAAGACAAACUGCUGCGAAAGCGUCUGCCAAGGAUGUUUUCAUUGA